rnacentral:rRNA from 1 species
CAAUAGCGUAUAUUAAAGUUGUUGCGGUUAAAAAGCUCGUAGUUGGAUUUCUGCCGAGGACGACCGGUCCGCCCUCUGGGUGAGUAUCUGGCUCGGCCUGGGCAUCUUCUUGGAGAACGUAGCUGCACUUGACUGUGUGGUGCGGUAUCCAGGACUUUUACUUUGAGGAAAUUAGAGUGUUUCAAGCAGGCUUACGCCUUGAAUACAUUAGCAUGGAAUAAUAAGAUAGGACCUCGGUUCUAUUUUGUUGGUUUCUAGAGCUGAGAUAAUGAUUAAUAGGGAUAAUUGGGGGCAUUCGUAUUGACGAGUCAGAGGUGAAAUUCUUGGAUUUCGUCACGACGAACUACUGCGAAAGCAUUUGCCAAGGAUGUUUUCAUUGA